rnacentral:rRNA from 1 species
GCAGCAGUGAGGAAUAUUGGUCAAUGGGCGCAAGCCUGAACCAGCCAUCCCGCGUGCAGGAAGACGGCCCUAUGGGUUGUAAACUGCUUUUCUGAGGGAAGAAUAACCCCGAUUUGCUCGGGGGAUGACGGUACCUCAGGAAUAAGCAUCGGCUAACUCCGUGCCAGCAGCCGCGGUAAUACGGAGGAUGCAAGCGUUAUCCGGAUUCAUUGGGUUUAAAGGGUGCGUAGGCGGGCUGGUAAGUCAGUGGUGAAAUCUUUCGGCUCAACCGAGAAACUGCCAUUGAAACUGGCAGUCUUGAGUCAGGUAGAGGUAGGCGGAAUGUGUAAUGUAGCGGUGAAAUGCUUAGAUAUUACACAGAACACCGAUUGCGUAGGCAGCUUACUGGACCUGCACUGACGCUGAUGCACGAAAGCGUGGGGAGCGAACAGGAUUAGAUACCCUGGUAGUCCACGCCGUAAACUAUGAUUACUCGUUGUUGGCGAUACACCGUCAGCGACCAAGCGAAAGCGAUAAGUAAUCCACCUGG